rnacentral:rRNA from 1 species
GCGGCGUGCUUAACACAUGCAAGUCGAACGAAGUCUUUUGAGAGCUUGCUCUUAAAAAACUUAGUAGCGGACGGGUGAGUAACGCGUGGGUAACCUGCCUUAUACUGUGGAAUAAUCACUGGAAACGGUGACUAAUACCGCAUGUCGUCUUUUGAGGGCAUCCUCGAAAGAAAAAAGGAUUUAUUCGGUAUAAGAUGGACCCGCGUCUGAUUAGCUAGUUGGUGAGAUAACAGCCCACCAAGGCAACGAUCAGCAGCCGACCUGAGAGGGUGAUCGGCCACAUUGGGACUGAGACACGGCCCAAACUCCUACGGGAGGCAGCAGUGGGGAAUAUUGCACAAUGGAGGAAACUCUGAUGCAGCAACGCCGCGUGAAGGAAGAAGGUUUUCGGAUCGUAAACUUCUAUCAAUAGGGACGAAACAAAUGACGGUACCUAAAUAAGAAGCCCCGGCUAACUACGUGCCAGCAGCCGCGGUAAUACGUAGGGGGCAAGCGUUAUCCGGAAUUACUGGGUGUAAAGGGAGCGUAGGCGGCAUGGUAAGCCAGAUGUGAAAGCCCGAAGCUUAACUUCGAGGAUUGCAUUUGGAACUAUCAAGCUAGAGUACAGGAGAGGAAAGCGGAAUUCCUAGUGUAGCGGUGAAAUGCGUAGAUAUUAGGAAGAACACCAGUGGCGAAGGCGGCUUUCUGGACUGAAACUGACGCUGAGGCUCGAAAGCGUGGGGAGCAAACAGGAUUAGAUACCCUGGUAGUCCACGCCGUAAACGAUGAGUGCUAGGUGUCGGGGAGGAAUCCUCGGUGCCGCAGCCAACGCAAUAAGCACUCCACCUGGGGAGUACGACCGCAAGGUUGCAAA